UUAGCAUGCCCUGAGUGGUUAUAAAAGGGGUAAAUUGACGCCACCUGGUAGAGGGCCCUUUUGUAAACAACUGCUUCCCUGACCUGCCUUCCUCCCAAGCUCCAGGGUCGGAGGCUGAUUGUUUGGCAACCAUAGCUGUGCAGGACUGGUCUUUUUAGUCCACUCCUGGUUGUCUACCGGUCAGCUCUGUGAUCUGCAUUACUGGGAUUGUUGGGCAUAACGCUCAGCUGCUGGCAUUCCCUGGUGUCUGACUGCUCAUAUGUGUCUCCUCUGCUUCUUUGCACAUAAAUAACCUCCUCCAC